AUUACAACUCAUGCAACUAUUUCUAAUAAAUUACAAUUUUCAAUUUAAACAAAUUCCAAGAAACUAUUUCUAAAGUUUUGUUUUGAAUCUGUAGUCAACUUGUGAGUUUCGACUUUGAGGGAGUUGUUGACUCCGCUUGAUCAUGGGUUUGAGGCUGCCCACCGUCGCGGUAGUCAAUUCCAUCUCCACGCAUCUCAUGGUCAUGUCGCACUUGUUUAUGCUUUUGCACUCAAGUUUAUUGCUUCCUUUGCCACAAAUGUCAAAGCCUUUGCAGCUGCCUCUUCGGGAGGGACUUAGUAGAGUGAGUAAGCAUUGCCUGCCUCAUUAAGCUUGGUGGUUCCGCAGUCACAUGUUUGUCUCGGACUAUUCGUUGAACGGACUGCUUCCUCGCUUCUCGAUCUUCCGCUUUGUUUCUUUGUAACUUUCAUUGUUGUCUUCGUUUCUAGAUGCACUUUAGGGAAACGUUUUUAUCUUGCAUCAAACUGUCUUCUACCAUUAUCAUUAUGUUAAUGGUUUGAAUUGAUGAUUUGGUGCAAGAAAGUGGUAUGCUUCCAUGUUUUUUAUCCAUUUUUUGGCAUGGGAUCAUGUAUUUGGUUAUGCUUAAUUGUGUAACUCAAACUUUCAUUGUGAAAUGGAUAUUUACAUUCUUUAGUU